CACGUAGGGUGCGAGCGUUGUCCGGAAUUAUUGGGCGUAAAGAGCUCGUAGGCGGUGUGUCGCGUCGGCCGUGAAAACCUGCAGCUUAACUGUGGGCGUGCGGUCGAUACGGGCAGGCUGGAGUUCGGUAGGGGAGACUGGAAUUCCUGGUGUAGCGGUGAAAUGCGCAGAUAUCAGGAGGAACACCGAUAGCGAAGGCAGCUCGCUGGGACGGUACUGACGCUGAGGCGCGAAAGCGUGGGGAGCAAACAGG
rnacentral:rRNA from 1 species